rnacentral:rRNA from 1 species
CCUACGGGUGUCAGCAGUGAGGAAUAUUGGUCAAUGGACGAGAGUCUGAACCAGCCAAGUAGCGUGAGGGAUGACUGCCCUUUGGGUUGUAAACUUCUUUUAUAUGGGAAUAAAUUGUUCCAAGUGUGGGAUUUUGUAUGUACCAUAUGAAUAAGGAUCGGGUAACUCCGUGCCAGCAGCGGCGGUAAUCGGGAGGAUCCGUGCGUUAUCCGGAUUUAUUGGGUUUAAAGGGGGCGUAGGUGGAUUGGUAAGUCAGUUGUGAAAGUUUGCGGCUCAACCGUAAAAUUGCAGUUGAAACUGGCAGUCUUGAGUACAGUAGAGGUGGGCGGAAUUCGUGGUGUAGCGGUGAAAUGCUUAGAUAUCACGAAGAACUCCGAUUGCGAAGGCAGUUCACUGGACUGCAACUGACACUGAGGCUCGAAAGUGUGGGUAUCAAACAGGAUUAGAUACCCCAGUAGUC